CAGUAGCCGCGGUAACACGGAGGGAGCUAGCGUUGUUCGGAAUUACUGGGCGUAAAGCGCACGUAGGCGGCUUUGUAAGUUAGAGGUGAAAGCCUGGAGCUCAACUCCAGAACUGCCUUUAAGACUGCAUCGCUUGAAUCCAGUAGAGGUGAGUGGAAUUCCGAGUGUAGAGGUGAAAUUCGUAGAUAUUCGGAAGAGCACCAGUGGCGAAGGCGACUCACUGGACUGGUAUUGACGCUGAGGUGCGAAAGCGUGGGGAGCAAACAGGAUUAGAUACCCGUGUAGUCCCUGUCUCUUAUAC
rnacentral:rRNA from 1 species